rnacentral:rRNA from 1 species
UACGUAGGGUGCGAGCGUUGUCCGGAAUUAUUGGGCGUAAAGGGCUCGUAGGCGGUUUGUCGCGUCGGGAGUGAAAACUCAGGGCUUAACCCUGAGCCUGCUUCCGAUACGGGCAGACUAGAGGUAUGCAGGGGAGAACGGAAUUCUUGGUGUAGCGGUGAAAUGCGUAGAUAUCAAGAGGAACACCUGAGGUGAAGACGGGUUGCUGGGCCGACACUGACGCUGAGUGCGCGAAAGCCAGGGGAGCAAACGGG